GAGAGAGAGAGAGAGAAAGCCCUUGUUCUCAAGUUCUAAUAGAACUCACCCUCGACUCCGGCUCUCCAACCCUUAACGACGUUCUCAUCCGUAGAAUUCCAUUAGGAUAGGCAACACGAAACGCAUUUCGUUAUUAUCGUUCGUUAACCCCCAGACGAAUCGAUAUCGUUAAGAGAUAAAGGCGAUACACAUUGAUACCAUAGCGCAUGGAAAGGGAUGGAAAAGAAAAAGAAAAAGAAAAAGGAAAAGAAAAAACGAAAAGAAAAAAAAAGAAGAAGAAGAAGAAGAAGAAAAAUGCGUGAAAAGAAGGAUGAGGGAGGAAUGAACAAUAAUAAUGCGAAGAAGAAUAACAAAACAAAAAAAGACAAAAAAAAAAAAAAGAAAAAAGAAAAAAGAAACCAAAACAAGAAUAAGGGAUAGUAAGAGUGGGGCGGGGAGGGGUGGGAGGUAAAGAUGGAAGGAAGCAGGGACUGGGAUGAUGAUUCGAAUUCGUACUAUGAAUGAGCCACAAUGAUAUCGGCUAAAAUGAAAUUGGUAUAUAUCGUGAGUAAGAAAAAGUAAGAAGGAAAGGAAGAAAGAAAGAAAGAAAGAAGAAAGUUUAACCGCUUUACUCGGUGACAGCUUGACAAACACUGAUUACGGAAAAUCCAAAGGCGAGGAGAUAAAGCACGGGCUCGUCGAUUUCUUUUAUCGGCCUAAAUUGCGGUCGUUAUCGGAAGAAUUUUCUCCGUUGGAUCGACUCCACGUUAUUUCUUGGCUCGCUCUAUCUUCUUUACGCGCUACGAACAAAAAAAAAGAAAAGAAA